UACAGAGGGUGCAAGCGUAAUCGGAAUUACUGGGCGUAAAGCGCGCGUAGGUGGUUCGUUAAGUUGGAUGUGAAUCCCCGGGCUCAACCUGGGAACUGCAUUCAAAACUGACGAGCUAGAGUACGGUAGAGGGGGAUGGAAUUCCGCGGUGUAGCAGUGAAAUGCGUAGAUAAUGCGGAGGAACACCGAUGGCGAAGGCCAAUCCCCUGGACCUGUACCUGACGCUCAUGCACGAAAGCGUGGGGAGCAAACAGG
rnacentral:rRNA from 1 species